rnacentral:rRNA from 1 species
GACGAACGCUGGCGGCGUGCUUAACACAUGCAAGUCGAACGGAAAGGCCCUGCUUUUGUGGGGUGCUCGAGUGGCGAACGGGUGAGUAACACGUGAGUAACCUGCCCUUGACUUUGGGAUAACUUCAGGAAACUGGGGCUAAUACCGGAUAGGAGCUCCUGCUGCAUGGUGGGGGUUGGAAAGUUUCGGCGGGUGGGGAUGGACUCGCGGCUUAUCAGCUUGUUGGUGGGGUAGUGGCUUACCAAGGCUUUGACGGGUAGCCGGCCUGAGAGGGUGACCGGCCACAUUGGGACUGAGAUACGGCCCAGACUCCUACGGGAGGCAGCAGUGGGGACUAUUGCACAAUGGGCGGAAGCCUGAUGCAGCAACGCCGCGUGCGGGAUGACGGCCUUCGGGUUGUAACCCGCUUUCGCCUGUGACGAAGCGUGAGUGACGGUAAUGGGUAAAGAAGCACCGGCUAACUACGUG